rnacentral:lncRNA from 1 species
CUUUGGACAUAAGGUAUAUGCCUAUUUUGUUAUGCUCCAGAUGCCACCUUUCUCCUUGAUGAAUUUCUGCUGAAUGUCCUGUUUGUCUGUCUCUGCUGAAUGGACAUAAUGUAUAUUUGUUAAGAAUUAAAUAAUUUACUGAUAUUUUAUUUCAGGCAACUAGUGCCGGGCUCAAGGAGCAGGAAGCAAUAAAUUUUCUGGAGAAGAAAAUGAAGGAUGAUCCUAAAUUCACCUAUGACGAAACUGUUCAGGUAAAUGUUGCAUGGCUUUUGCUUCAAACAGGCACAAAGCUAUAAUUGCUCACGAUAUUAUACUGCUGCGCCAAGCUAGUAAAAAAGCUUAUAUGUUUUCUCAAUAUAUGGUCAGAGUAAUGUAGCCGUUGCAUAGAUUCUGCAGCUCACAUUCACUCAUCAAUUAUUAAAUAUUCCCUCCUUUCUAAAUUAUAAGAUGUUUUGACAUUUCUAGAUACAUAGUUAAACUAUAGAUAUACACUAAAAGCAAUAUAUCAAGAAAAGUCAAAACAUCUUAUAAUUUGAAAUGGAGUUAGUAUGUAGAAGUUGAGGUAUUUAACUAACUUCUGCCCAAUGUUUC